UAAAUACUAAUACCAGAUCGAUAGUGCACAAGUACCGUGAGGGAAAGGUGAAAAGAACUGAGGUGAUCAGAGUGAAAUAGAACCUGAAACCAUUUGCUUACAAUCAUUCAGAGCCCUAUGUAGCAAUACAGGGUGAUGGACUGCCUUUUGCAUAAUGAGCCUGCGAGUUGUGGUGUCUGGCAAGGUUAAGCAAACGCGAAGCCGUAGCGAAAGCGAGUCUGAAUAGGGCGCUUAGUCAGAUGCUGCAGACCCGAAACGAAGUGAUCUAUCCAUGAGCAAGUUGAAGCUAGUGUAAGAACUAGUGGAGGACUGAACCCAUAGGCGUUGAAAAGCCCCGGGAUGACUUGUGGAUAGGGGUGAAAGGCCAAUCAAACUUCGUGAUAGCUGGUUCUCUCCGAAAUAUAUUUAGGUAUAGCGUUGUGUCGUAAUAUAAGGGGGUAGAGCACUGAAUGGGCUAGGGCAUACACCAAUGUACCAAACCCUAUCAAACUCCGAAUACCUUAUAUGUAAUCACAGCAGUCAGGCGGCGAGUGAUAAAAUCCGUCGUCAAGAGGGAAACAACCCAGACUACCAGCUAAGGUCCCUAAAUCUUACUUAAGUGGAAAACGAUGUGAAGUUACUUAAACAACCAGGAGGUUGGCUUAGAAGCAGCCAUCCUUUAAAGAAAGCGUAAUAGCUCACUGGUCUAGUGAUUUUGCGCGGAAAAUAUAACGGGGCUAAAGUAAGUACCGAAGCUGUAGACUUAGUUUACUAAGUGGUAGGAGAGCGUUCUAUUUGCGUCGAAGGUAUACCGGUAAGGAGUGCUGGAGCGAAUAGAAGUGAGCAUGCAGGCAUGAGUAGCGAUAAUUAAUGUGAGAAUCAUUAACGCCGUAAACCCAAGGUUUCCUACGCGAUGCUCGUCAUCGUAGGGUUAGUCGGGUCCUAAGUCGAGUCCGAAAGGGGUAGACGAUGGCAAAUUGGUUAAUAUUCCAAUACCAACAUUAGUGUGCGAUGGAAGGACGCUUAGGGCUAAGGGGGCUAGCGGAUGGAAGUGCUAGU
rnacentral:rRNA from 1 species